AACAGGGUCGCGUCAAUUGUGAUUCAUAAUCAACUUCUCGAAUCGCACGGCUUGCGCGGAAUGCUUCAUUCAAAUAUCUGCCCUAUCAAACUUUCGCAUGGUAGGCAUAGCAGGCUACCAUGGUUUUGACGGGUAACGGGGCAAUAAGGGUUCGAUUCCGGAGAGGGAGCCUGAGAAACGGUACCACAUCCACGGAAGGCAGCAGGCGCGCAAAUUACCCAAUCCCGACACGGGGAGGUAGUGACAAAUAAAUAACAAUAUAGGGCCCUUUCGGGUCCUAUAAUUGGAAUGAGUACAAUUUAAAUCCGUUAACGAGGAACAAUUGGAGGGCAAGUCUGGUGCCAGCAGCCGGGUAACUUCCAGCUCCAAUAGCGUAUAUUCACAGUUGUGCAGUUCAAAAAGCUCGUAGUUGAACUUCA
rnacentral:rRNA from 1 species